rnacentral:rRNA from 1 species
GGGUCAGUAGGUUGGUCGUGCCACCGGUACGUACUGGUCUCACUGAUUUCUCCUUCCUGAAGAACCGUAAUGCCAUUAAUUUGGUGUUGCGGGGAAACAGGACUGUUACUUUGAAAAAAUUAGAGUGUUUAAAGCAAGCUAACGCUUGAAUACAUUAGCAUGGAAUAAUGAAAUAGGACGAUCGAUCCUAUUUUGUUGGUUCCUAGGAUUGACGUA